rnacentral:tRNA from 1 species
AGGGAAGUAGUUCAAUGGUAGAACAGUGGUCUCCAAAACCACGGACGUGGGUUCGAUUCCUACCUUCCCUG